UACGUAGGGAGCAAGCGUUGUCCGGAUUUACUGGGCGUAAAGAGUUCGUAGGUGGCAUGUAAAGUCUGGUGUUAAAUGCAGAAGCUCAACUUCUGUUCGGCACUGGAUACUUGCAAGCUAGAAUGCGGUAGAGGUAAGCGGAAUUCCUAGUGUAGCGGUGAAAUGCGUAAAUAUUAGGAGGAACACCAGUGGCGAAGGCGAUCUACUGGACAGUAACUGACGCUGAGGCGCGAAAGCGUGGGGAGCAA
rnacentral:rRNA from 1 species